rnacentral:rRNA from 1 species
CCUACGGGUGGCAGCAGUGGGGAAUAUUGGGCAAUGGGCGCAAGCCUGACCCAGCAACGCCGCGUGAAGGAAGAAGGCUUUCGGGUGGUAAACUUCUUUUCUCAGGGACGAAGCUCGUGACGGUACCUGAGGACUAAGCCACGGCUAACUACGUGCCAGCAGCCGCUGUAAUACGUAGGUGGCAAGCGUUAUCCGGAUUUACUGGGUGUAAAGGGCGUGUAGGCGGGACUGCUAGUCAGAUGUGAAAACCAUGGGCUCAACCUAUGGCCUGCAUUUGAAACUGUAGUUCUUGAGUACUGGAGAGGCAGACGGAAGUCCUAGUGUAGCGGUGAAAUGCGUAGAUAUUAGGAGGAACACCAGUGGCGAAGGCGGUCUGCUGGACAGCAACUGACGCUGAGGCGCGAAAGCGUGGGGAGCAAACAGGAUUAGAUACCCUUGUAGUC